rnacentral:rRNA from 1 species
GAUGAACGCUGGCGGCGUGCCUAAUACAUGCAAGUCGAGCGAACGGACGAGAAGCUUGCUUCUCUGAUGUUAGCGGCGGACGGGUGAGUAACACGUGGAUAACCUACCUAUAAGACUGGGAUAACUUCGGGAAACCGUAGCUAAUACCGGAUAAUAUUUUGAACCGCAUGGUUCAGAAGUGAAAGACGGUCUUGCUGUCACUUAUAGAUGGGUCCGCGCUGCAUUAGCUAGUUGGUAAGGUAACGGCUUACCAAGGCAACGAUGCAUAGCCGACCUGAGAGGGUGAUCGGCCACACUGGAACUGGGACACGGUCCAGACUCCUACGGGAGGCAGCAGUAGGGAAUCUUCCGCAAUGGGCGAAAGCCUGACGGAGCAACGCCGCGUGAGUGAUGAAGGUCUUCGGAUCGUAAAACUCUGUUAUUAGGGAAGAACAUAUGUGUAAGUAACUGUGCACAUCUUGACGGUACCUAAUCAGAAAGCCACGGCUAACUACGUG